rnacentral:rRNA from 1 species
GAUGAACGCUGGCGGCGUGGAUAAGGCAUGCAAGUCGAAUGGGUUUAGACCCAUGGCGAACGGGGUAGUAACAGGUAGGAACGUACCACAGAGUCGCGAAUAACUUUCCGAAAGGAAUGAUAAUGCGCGAUAUACUUACGAGUGAAAGAUUUAUCGCUCUGUGAUCGGCCUGCUUCGUAUCAGCUUGUUGGUAGUGUAAAAGACUACCAAGGCAAUGACGCGUAGGGGAGGUGAGAGCCUGACCCCCACCAAUGGCACUGAGACACUGGCCAUACUCCUACGGGAGGCUGCAGUCGAGAAUAUUCCGCAAUGCACGAAAGUGUGACGGAGCGACGCCGCGUGAUUGAUGAAGGCCUUCGGGUUGUAAAGAUCUUUUAUAGGUGAGGAAGUUUAUUGACGUUAACCUAUGAAUAAGGGGUUCCUAAUCUGG